rnacentral:rRNA from 1 species
AUUGAACGCUGGCGGCAUGCCUUGCACAUGCAAGUCGAACGGUAACAGGUCUUCGGAUGCUGACGAGUGGCGAACGGGUGAGUAAUACAUCGGAACGUGCCUAGUAGUGGGGGAUAACUACUCGAAAGAGUGGCUAAUACCGCAUGAGAUCUACGGAUGAAAGCAGGGGAUCGAAAGACCUUGUGCUACUAGAGCGGCCGAUGGCAGAUUAGGUAGUUGGUGGGAUAAAAGCUUACCAAGCCGACGAUCUGUAGCUGGUCUGAGAGGACGAUCAGCCACACUGGGACUAGGACACGGCCCAGACUCCUACGGGAGGCAGCAGUGGGGAAUGUUGGACAAUGGGCGAAAGCCUGAGCCAGCAAUGCCGCGUGAAGGAUGAAGGCCUUCGGGUUGUAAACUGCUUUUGUACGGAACGAAAAGCCCUGGGUUAAUACCNUGGGGUCAUGACGGUACCGUAAGAAUAAGCACCGGCUAACUACGUGCCAGCCGCCGCAGUAAAA